AAAACAGGGAGAGACUUCAUUCAUUUCUUAAGGCAGGAUUUUUGAAAAUUCUGAUAGCAUCACAGAUACAAUGGAAUUGGAAUACAGAGACUUGUGGGAAAAGACUCUCUGUCGACCACUCUGGUCACAGCUUGGAAAAGUUUCUUAUGGGACUAUAGCUUCCCAGAAAGAUGUAUACAACUUGAUGUUAGAAACAAGAUUGUCCCUCCUCUUUCAUCUACAUCCUGUGGAAAGGAGAGGAGCCCAAGGCAGCUGGAACAAAAUAUUCAAGGCAUCUGAAACAAAAGAAGAUAAGAUAAGAAUUCCUUAUGGGCAUUUAAAUGGAGUUUGAGGAAUGUGA